rnacentral:rRNA from 1 species
GAUGAACGCUGGCGGCGUGCCUAAUACAUGCAAGUCGAGCGAACAGACGAGGAGCUUGCUCCUCUGACGUUAGCGGCGGACGGGUGAGUAACACGUGGAUAACCUACCUAUAAGACUGGGAUAACUUCGGGAAACCGGAGCUAAUACCGGAUAAUAUAUUGAACCGCAUGGUUCAAUAGUGAAAGACGGUUUUGCUGUCACUUCUAGCUGGAUCCGCGCCGCAUUAGCUAGUUGGUAAGGUAACGGCUUACCAAGGCAACGAUGCGUAGCCGACCUGAGAGGGUGAUCGGCCACACUGGAACUGAGACACGGUACAGACUCCUACGGGAGGCAGCAGUAGGGAAUCUUCCGCAAUGGGCGAAAGCCUGACGGAGCAACGCCGCGUGAGUGAUGAAGGUCUUCGGAUCGUAAAACUCUGUUAUUAGGGAAGAACAAAUGUGUAAGUAACUAUGCACGUCUUGACGGUACCUAAUCAGAAAGCCACGGCUAACUACGUG